AACGCACAUUGCGCCCUCUGGUAUUCCGGAGGGCAUGCCUGUUCGAGCGUCAUUACAACCCUCAAGCUCUGCUUGGUAUUGGGCGUCACCGGUAACGGUGUGCCCUAAAAUCAGUGGCGGUGCCAUCUGGCUCUAAGCGUAGUAAAUCUCUCGCUAUAGGUGUCAGGUGGGUGCUUGCCAACAACCCCCAAUUUUUUUAAGGUUGACCUCGGAUCAGGUAGGGAUACCCGCUGAACUUAA
rnacentral:misc_RNA from 1 species